CCUACGGGAGGCAGCAGUGGGGAAUAUUGCACAAUGGGGGAAACCCUGAUGCAGCGACGCCGCGUGAGUGAAGAAGGACUUCGUUAUGUAAAGCUCUAUCAGCAGGGAAGAAAAUGACGGUACCUGAGUCAGAAGCCCCGGCUAACGACGUGCCAGCAGCCGCGGUAAUACGUAGGGGGCAAGCGUUAUCCGGAUUGACUGGGGGGAAAGGGAGCGUAGACGGCAGUGCAAGGCUGGAGUGAAAGGCGGGGGCUCAACCCCCGGACUGCUCUGGAAACUGUACGGCUGGAGUGCAGGAGAGGUAAGUGGAAUGCCUAGUGUAGCGGUGAAAUGCGUAGAUAUUAGGCGGAACCCCAGUGGCGAAGGCAGCUUACUGGACUGUAACUGACGUUGAGGCUCGAAAGCGUGGGGAGCAAACAGGAUUAGAUACCCGAGUAGUC
rnacentral:rRNA from 1 species